rnacentral:rRNA from 1 species
GCUAAGAAUAUUCCGCAAUGGACGAAAGUCUGACGGAGCGACGCCGCGUGGAUGAAGAAGGCCGAAAGGUUGUAAAGUUCUUUUGUUGGGGAAGAAUAACCAUGGGAGGGAAUGCCCGUGGGAUGACAUGAACCGACGAAUAAGCCCCGGCUAACUACGUGCCAGCAGCCGCGGUAACACGUAGGGGGCGAGCGUUGUUCGGAAUUACUGGGCGUAAAGGGCAUGUAGGCGGUCUUGUAAGCUUGGCGUGAAAGACCACGGCUCAACCGUGGGAUUGCGUUGAGAACUGCGAGGCUUGAGUGACGGAGAGGGAGCUAGAAUUCCUGGUGUAGGGGUGGAAUCUGUAGAGAUCAGGAAGAAUACCAGUGGCGAAGGCAAGCUCCUGGCCGAUGACUGACGCUGAGGUGCGAAAGUGUGGGGAUCAAACAGGAUUAGAUACCCGAGUAGUCC